UACGGGGGGAGCAAGCGUUGUUCGGAUUUACUGGGCGUAAAGGGCGCGUAGGCGGCCAGCACAAGUCAGUUGUGAAAUCUCCGGGCUUAACUCGGAAAGGUCAACUGAUACUGUGCGGCUAGAGUGCGGAAGGGGCAACUGGAAUUCUCGGUGUAGCGGUGAAAUGUGUAGAUAUCGAGAGGAACACCUGCGGCGAAGGCGGGUUGCUGGGCCGACACUGACGCUGAUGCGCGAAAGCGUGGGGAGCGAACAGG
rnacentral:rRNA from 1 species